GAUGAAGAACGUAGCGAAAUGCGAUAAGUAAUGUGAAUUGCAGAAUUCAGUGAAUCAUCGAGUCUUUGAACGCACAUUGCGCCCCCUGGUAUUCCGGGGGGCAUGCCUGUCCGAGCGUCAUUGCUGCCCUCAAGCACGGCUUGUGUGUUGGGCUCUCGCCCCCCGCUUCCGGGGGGCGGGCCCGAAAGGCAGCGGCGGCACCGCGUCCGGUCCUCGAGCGUAUGGGGCUUCGUCACCCGCUCUGUAGGCCCGGCCGGCGCCCGCCGGCGAACACCAUCAAUCUUAACCAGGUUGACCUCGGAUCAGGUAGGGAUACCCGCUGAACUUAAGCAUAUCAAUAAGCGGAGGA
rnacentral:misc_RNA from 1 species